CCUCCUGAUUUAUGCGCAAAGGGGCUGGGGAGGGAGUUUUGGCCAAGCGUGCACGGUGGAACCCCAGCACCUCCCCCCGUGACGGCAAGAGAAACUCCAUCUGGAGAGCGCUGGGGUCGAGCCACACUUCAGUCACCCCCGCUCUGCCCCCUCGUCCUCAGCUCGGGGGGGUUUCUGAAGGCGCCUCCCUGGACCGCGCACGGGCCUCUUCUCCCCCCCCCCCCGCCCCCCCGGGCCCUGCCGACCUGCCUGGGGCAGCAGCAGCAGAGGUUCCAGAACGAAGUGCCCUCUGGCAGGGAGGGACCCCCUUCACACCAUCCCGAACCUGGCGUGGAUGUCAGUAACGGCGGCAGACCCCAGGCCAGGUCAGCGCCGCGGGGGACACGCACGGCCCCGGGAUCCCGCCUUCUCGGCAAGCAGCACGGAAGCAGCAGCAUUUGGAGCAAAUCCCCUGGACAGAAACUUGCCCCCGGUCCAACAUCACCACUGGAAACCCAAACGGUUCGAGUCUGGCAACUCAUCAGACCGACGUUUGUGAAGAAACACGUAGCGGGUGGCCACAGUCAUGGAAGGGCUCCCAGUGCCCCGUGUGCCUCUAGAGCAUCUCAGAAUUCCCGGCAAGAGAGGCUUCUCUGCACGCGAAGCUGUUUUCAAAGGAGAGAAGGGGUUUACCAACUGCUAAGUAAUUCUUGCGGUAAAAAAAAAAACAAAAACAAAAAGAAACCCCAAAUUCACCCAGAGACCCAGGUAGAGGUUAAUGAUUUUUUUCCCGAUAAAACACAUGAGCACAGACGUCAGGAUGAAGUAUUUCCGAGGGCGCCCCUGCUCCCUGUGACUCAGUCGCGGCUGGCACCGGCCACAGACGGGAGCGGGGGGGACCCGCGGGGCAGAUUGCGACGGGGAGGGAGUCGGCGGGCCAGGCGGAGCUCGGCCGCGCCCCGGGGACGGCCGGGGUCCCCAGCUGCCCAGGCCGCGGUUCCGGCCGGCACCCGGCGUGAGAAGCAGCCACGUCCCCACCCCCACGUGAGGGAACGCCACAGGGGGAUGUCGGGAAGCCCCUCGGACUCCGGAGCGCCCGCCUGCGGUCCUCCCGGCUGCGCACCGUUUCCACCGCCGGCGCCCCCUAGCGGAGGGUCUCACGUUGGCUGCGGCGCAAAGCAGCGCCCGGUGCAGAUUGUAGCCAAACGGUGGUAUUUAUUUUUUCGACGCGUUCUACAACGAGCUCUCCCUUUGCUGCAUUUCUCAGAGUUGUCUCCCGUCAACGUUCUGGAAGGAAGGCCUGACCUCCUCCGCACAACUGCCUCCCCGCCGUCCCCCCGCCCCUCCGCCCCCAGCCCCUGCUCUCUCUCGAGUCGGCUCUCCAUCGGGCUCACCCCGCUUCCCGGCCUCCCGAGGGCGGGGGAGGCAGGAAUUUUAAUUUUUUUAAAAUUUUCGCCGCGUGAGGGAAUGGAGAAAAAUCUACGGCUGGUGCGGGAACGUUAG
rnacentral:lncRNA from 1 species